rnacentral:rRNA from 1 species
AUACGUAGGUGGCAAGCGUUGUCCGGAAUUAUUGGGCGUAAAGCGCGCGCAGGUGGUUCCUUAAGUCUGAUGUGAAAGCCCCCGGCUCAACCGGGGAGGGUCAUUGGAAACUGGGGAACUUGAGUGCAGAAGAGGAUAGUGGAAUUCCAAGUGUAGCGGUGAAAUGCGUAGAGAUUUGGAGGAACACCAGUGGCGAAGGCGACUGUCUGGUCUGUAACUGACUCUGAGGCGCGAAAGCGUGGGGAGCAAACAGGAUUAGAUACCCUGGUAGUCCACGCCGUAAACGAUGAGUGCUAAGUGUUGGGGGGUUUCCGCCCCUCAGUGCUGCAGCUAACGCAUUAAGCACUCCGCCUGGGGAGUACGGUCGCAAGACUGAAACUCAAAUGAAUUGACGGGG